rnacentral:rRNA from 1 species
UGGGGGAUAUUGCACAAUGGGCGCAAGCCUGAUGCAGCGACGCCGCGUGGGGGAUGAAGGCCUUCGGGUUGUAAACUUCUUUUGCUCUGAACAAGGCGCACUUUGGGGUGUGUUGAGUGUAGGGGUUGAUUAGCGCCGGCUAACUACGUGCCAGCAGCCGCGGUAAUACGUAGGGCGCGAGCGUUGUCCGGAAUUAUUGGGCGUAAAGGGCUUGUAGGUGGCUGGUUGCGUCUGUCGUGAAAGCUCAUGGCUUAACUGUGUGUUUGCGGUGGGUACGGGCUGGCUUGAGUGCAGUAGGGGAGGCUGGAAUUCCUGGUGUAGCGGUGGAAUGCGCAGAUAUCAGGAGGAAUACCGGUGGCGAAGGCGGGUCUCUGGGCUGUUACUGACACUGAGGAGCGAAAGCAUGGGGAGCGAACAGG